UUCAAAUACUUUUGUUUGUUGAAUAGAUUUGGCUUAGUUUAUUCUAGUCUAUGAGUCAUUGAUGGUAUGCCUAGCUGUACUUUGAAUCUUGAUCCAUUUUAGCGUUCGAUUGGGACUUGGGAGAGCUUGGAAGAAAUGAGUCUAUGAGUCAUUGAUGGUAUGCGUAGCCGUACUUUGAAUCUUGAUCCAUUUUAGUGGUCGAUUGGGAGAGCUUGGUUAAUGAAUAUAUCUUUGAGAUGAAAUCUCAUCUCCAGAGUACAUGCUUUAUCAUCUUCACUGCCGAGAAUUGUAGUUUGAAUCAAUAUUUCCUUUCAUAGUGUAGAUGUUGCACUUCAAAUACAGAUUUGUGGAGAAUCUCAGAAAUGGUGCAUUGUUUUCACAUUAGAUAAGUUUAAACUUGUGCAGUUAAUAUAAAUAAUGUAACUUGUAGUUUAAAGCUAGACUGUUCUUUUUGUUGCC
rnacentral:lncRNA from 1 species